AGGAAAAAAGUGCGCAUAAGUCUCAACAAAUGCUUCUCGGUCAACAUUUGCUGAGGCGCGUCCGUGCUCAAGGAGUAAUUCUACCCGGCGCUCUAGCGUCCCUCAAGCGUCCCUCUCCAUCUGACGUGGCAUAGUCCACGUCAGGCCCUUUUUUUUUUAAAAAAAAAAAAAAAUUAAACCGUGUUUAUACGAAACUACAUUUCAGUUUCUUUCAAAAUAUUUUUGCCCCCAAAAAGCUUUCCUUCUUUCCCUCCUCCCUCCCUCCCUCCACCCCACCGACAGCCACCCACCCACCUGCUGAGCACCGUCGACCACCAGCGACCACCGCCACCGAACCCCAGUUCGUCCAUUUCCGGCUUCCAUCCACCGUCAAGCUCCGACGACCCAACGUAUAGCUCUAAUGACCCAUCGACCAUUCCGCCACGACGAGCCCAGCCGAGCGACCACCAUCGCCGACGAGCCAAGCCGAAUCACCACCACCGCAGAGGGCUUCGACGACCCAUCCAUCAUUAUCGUAUUUGCUGCUACUAAAUGAAGAUGAGUGAUCCAUCCUACAACACAUACUUAGGAGAAAGUACUGCCAGUGACGAAACUUCAUUAUGCUUUUACGAAAUUCCAUCUAGACUUUUUUGUUAAACUUUUUUGUACAGGAUUUGAUUAUCUAAAAUUGUCUAUUGUAUAAAAAUGAUCAUUGUAAUUUUUAUAUUUUUUGUACAAGAUUUGACUUAGUC